CUCAGGACAGCGCCCAGGAGACUGGCUGGAAUCAGUUUUGGAGGGUGAUGCACCGCGACAGCUAAAAGUUGGAUAGGGUUUCAGCAGCUCCUAUAUAAAGCAGGGGGGACUUAUGUCACCGCACUAAUUAAAUUCCAUCUGGGUUGUUCCUCGGGGUGUUUUUGAGCCUGCCACCCAACUCAAGCAGGCAGAGAGGCCGAGGGAGAGCAUGAUGAUGGACCUUUUUGAAACUGGCUCCUAUUUCUUCUACUUGGACGGGGAGAAUGGAGCUCUGCAGCAGCUGGAGAUGGCCGAGGGAUCCCCGCUGUAUCCAGGGAGCGAUGGCACUUUGUCCCCCUGUCAGGACCAAAUGCCGCCAGAGGCUGGCAGUGACAGCAGUGGAGAGGAGCAUGUGCUGGCACCCCCGGGACUACAACCCCCUCACUGCCCCGGACAGUGUUUGAUCUGGGCUUGUAAAACUUGCAAGAGAAAGUCGGCCCCCACGGACAGACGGAAAGCAGCCACCCUGCGGGAGAGGAGGAGACUGAAGAAGAUCAACGAAGCCUUCGAGGCUCUGAAAAGGCGGACUGUGGCGAACCCUAACCAGAGGCUGCCCAAGGUGGAGAUCCUGAGGAGCGCCAUCAGCUACAUCGAGAGGCUGCAGGACCUCUUGCACAGGCUGGAUCAGCAGGACAAAAUGCAGGAGAUCGGGGGAGACCCCUUCAGCUUCAGCCCCAAGCAGGGAAAUGUCCCCAGCUCGGACUUCCUCAGCACCUGCAGCUCCGACUGGCAAAGCGUUUCUGACCAUUCCCGAGCCCUGGGAGUCAGCCCCAAGGAAGGAAGCUCCAUCGUCGAGUCGUCGGCCUCCAGCAGCCUUCGAUGCCUCUCCUCCAUAGUGGACAGUAUUUCUUCCGAGGAGCCCAAACUGCCCAGCGCGGAGGAAGUGGUGGAGAAAUAAAUCCGGUUGCUCUGAUACUUACCUGUGUACCGGUGACCCACUUUGUCUGAGACUCACCGGCAAGUUCAUUCCUGUCUGAGUGAAGCUGUUGGUUGCAUUUCGUGUUAGUCGUAUUUAAAGAGUUCCCGCCUCGUUUCGUUCUUUGUUCUCCCACACACACCCUCGUAAUUAAAUAAUAACCCGAUCCCGGAGUUAAAACUGACUUCAGCGACAUCAAGCCCUGAGGAGUAAGACACGUCGCCGAGCCACGACCCGUGUGACCGGGAGGCAGCACUCAGGACACAUUUUUUCCCUUCGUUUUCUCCUCUGAGGAGCGUCUCUCCUUAAUUCGCAGUGUUAAUUACCCGCCUCCCCGGCCCGGGACGCGUGGGUGCCGGGGUAGGGCCCCGCAGCCCGUUUCCCCGUCGUGCUUGCGGAAAGCGGUACUGCUCCCCCAAAACGCCUCAAAUGGCAGCGUAGCUCGCCGGGCAGGGAUGAUGCUUCGGCCUCGUCCCGCACAAGGUGGAUGAGUUUAGAAAGGGGAAGCGCCAAAGACACCCCCCCGCCCCGGUCCUGGAGAAGGGGGGAGGCUCAGCAUGUCUCACCUUCCCUCGGCACCGGAGGACUUGAUCCAGGCCCGCUCUGCGGCAAAACUGCUGGGGCCGUUAGCGGCACCGGGGGGACAGCGAGCGGCUCUGGCAGGAACCCGCUCCCGUGGGGCUGUGGGCUGUGGUUUCCUGCCGGGAAAGGUAACUCCCCUUGAGCCUGAGAGAGAAGGGAAUGGGGUCCCUCAGGGAGGAAAGAGUUAAGCGGCCGAAAAGGGGGUGGAGGGGUAAACAACAUAUGAGGCCUUUCACUCCGUGAUGCAAAAAUGCACGGCCUCUCUGAGGAUGGCGGAGCGGAGCCGCUCGCCGUCGGAGCGUUGUGGCUUGUAACGGGCUGUUCGUGCCCUGGGAAGGGGCGAGCACCGGGCAACGCACACGGGGCUCGCCGGGGAGCUGGCACAAGCCGAGGGGCGCUCCUGCAGCGCUGCCCGCGGGCGCUCCCCUCGCCAGCUUUAACCCGUGAUUUAUUUUUUGUUUUCGUUUUUUUGAAAGGUCACAGCCACGUUUCGGGAAGGUGUCCCACUUCUCGGCCGGCUCGGGUACGGACACGGGUACUGGUACGUCCCUCGGGAGGGGCAGAGACCGCCCCGAGAGCUGGCUCCCUUCGCGGUGCCCUCCUCCCUCCCCUUUGGUGCCACCGUCGCCAGCCUGGUUUUUACAACAGUUAAGUACUCGCUCUAAUUGCCCUCUAAUGAGAUACUCCGUUGUGAGGAGUAAAUGCGGCGGCACAGUGCGGUGGGCACGCAGUGUGACACGGCAGUUCCCCCCCCACACACCUUUUUCUCGUUUCAAAUAAACCCCGUUGCCGCGGGGAACCCGGAGGCGCUUCAGAAAGCGGCGCUUGGGGGAUCGCGGGGUCUCGCCUGCAAUCUCUGCACUUCGGCGAAAAAGCGGAGAUAUUACAGUUUCCUUCUGUAGCGGCGGGACUCGAUCAGCAAUAGAGAGUUUCAGACCGGGUUUGCAGCUCGUCGCCUUCCUUCAGAAUUUGUCCCGAUCCCCGCUCGCUGGCUCCGAGAGAAGAGCAACGGGCGGUCCCUACGCCCGAUGCGGCCCCGCAGGAGCCGCCUCCCGCAGCAGGGCAAGAGCGGUGCUGAGGCACCUCCGAAACCGCGCUCUGACACCGACGCCCUGCCAGCCUGCUGCCGGGUCUGCCCUCAGCCCAGCAUUCACCCGGCAGGACCCCCCCGGCAGGCUCUCCUCCAGCAGCAGGGUAACUUGAGCGAUUGUUUGGAAUAAGUUUGCCUAAAGGACGGGUUUUUUUCAUUAAAUAAAGAAAAUACCUCCCGAAGAGACUCUCCGUGACCCCCACGGCUGCGGCUGACAUGCCGGGCUUCCCAGUGAAGGUCCUCAGUGUGUUUGCAAUUAAAAUGUUUGUGUUUGAUAUUAAUAA